ACAUGCCGUGGAGACACAAAGGAUUGCCAGGCAUUCAGCCUCAUUUGCAUUGUCUGGAGAAGAAUCAGCAUUGCUAGUGCAAGCAUAUUCUUUAAUAAAAAUGAAAAAAAGAAUAUUUUGUGUUUGACAGAUAUGCUCUUUAGGAUCAAAAGGAAGACCCUGAAGAAAAGCUGAGGAUAGUGGCUAAACCCAAAACAAGAGAUUAAAGGAGAAUAGAGGCAGAAAAGUCACCCAUACCCACUCCUUGGGGAGAAGAGAUGAAACCCUCCUUGAUGAGAAGAGAAGCUAUGACCUUAGAAGUAUUAUAGGCCAUAAAAUCAAAGAACUGGCCAUUAGAGGUUCCCAGAGAGAGGACUGGAGUCCGCUUUAGGAACUGUUGAGCAUCUUCUCCACCCAACCAGGACAAGAAAGUCUAGUGGAAGCCCACCAAGAUUUGCAGUUCAUCUCUUACCCAUCCAAUGUUGAAGAAUCUCAGAGCCCCGUUACUCUUUCUUGUAGUUUGCCAACUGAAGCCACUCCUGUACACUUAAAUUACCCAACAAAAGGAGAACUUGCUUUUCCUCCAAUAUUCUGCUUAUCUCCAUUCAAGUACCUCACCUGAACUACCCACAUCUUUUUAGUGACUAUGCUUACUCUGGUUCAGGAUGAAAGAUGGGAGAAUGAGAUGAACUGUCCCUUUAGUAGUCUAAAUGAGGAUGAAGGGAAGACCAGCACUGUCCCUUGGCUAGAACAGUGGCAAAACCCAUUCAUAUUUCAAAUGUGUCUGUAAGAUUUUCUCAUUCAUUACUCAGGCCUGACCUCAAAAACUAUGUCUAUAGUAAAGUAAAAAAUUGCCCAUGCACUGCUCUUUCCUAGUCUUGUGAGACAAAAUUAUAUGUGCUUAUGUGAAAGAUAUUAGAUAAAGACAGAGGUAGAAAGAUAAAGAAAAUAUGUAUAUUUUAAAAUAAAUGUUCAUAAUUAUGGUAUAUUUAAGCAAAUUGCUAAUUAAUACACAGUAGAUGUGACCUCAGUUAAAUCUCUUAACUAAAAUGAGACUGCUUCCUUAUUUUAUAAUUGUUGAGGUUGUGAGGUUUGCGGGACAAGACGUAAUAAGCUGCAAGAUCCUUUACUGUUUAAAAUUCUCCAUCUAUGAUUCAGAAGGACA
ensembl:lncRNA novel transcript